AGCUGGUCCAAGUGCAGUGGUAUUUACAACUAAAUUGAUCACAACCAGUUACAGGUUCCUUUGUUCCUUCUCCACUCCCACUGCUUCACUUAACUAGCCUUAA
rnacentral:Y_RNA from 1 species